rnacentral:snoRNA from 1 species
UGAUGAUGCUGAGGGCAAUUUCUGGGCAUACUUUUAAAUCUCUCCCAAGCUUGGUAGAGAUUCUCUCCUUCUUUCUGUCUAAAACUCAGAAUCUCAUUUCUCAAAUG